rnacentral:rRNA from 1 species
AGAGUUUGAUCAUGGCUCAGGACGAACGCUGGCGGCGNUAACACAUGCAAGUGGAGCGACGAACCGGGCUUCGGCCCGGGGCAAAGCCGCGAACGGGUGAGUAUCACGUGGGUAACCUGCCCCGAUGACCGGGACAACCCGAGGAAACUCGAGCUAAUACCGGAUGUCUUCUCCGCACAUCAGUGCAGAGAGAAAAGGAAGCUUCGGCCUCCGCAUUGGGAUGGGCCCGCGGCCCAUUAGCUUGUUGGUGAGGUAAAAGCUCACCAAGGCGACGAUGGGUAGCUGGUCUGAGAGGACGAUCAGCCACACUGGGACUGAGACACGGCCCAGACUCCUACGGGAGGCAGCAGUGGGGAAUCUUGCGCAAUGCGCGAAAGCGUGACGCAGCAACGCCGCGUGAGGGAAGAAGGCCUUCGGGUUGUAAACCUCUUUCAGGAGGGACGAAGGUUCAGGCGCGAAUAGCGUCCUGGACUGACGGUACCUCCAGAAGAAGCCCCGGCUAACUACGUGCCAGCAGCCGCGGUAAUACGUAGGGGGCUAGCGUUGUCCGGAAUCAUUGGGCGUAAAGCGCGCGUAGGCGGCCCGGUAAGUCCGCUGUAAAAGUCAGAGGCUCAACCUUUGAAUGUCAGUGGAUACUGCCGGGCUAGAGUCCGGAAGAGGCGAGUGGAACUCCUGGUGUAGCGGUGGAAUGCGCAGAUAUCAGGAAGAACACCAACGGCGAAGGCAGCUCGCUGGGACGGAACUGACGCUAAGGCGCGAAAGCGUGGGGAGCGAACAGGAUUAGAUACCCNNGUAGUCC